UAGUUUUCAUCAUUUUAAUAAAAGAUUUUGUAAUCUGUGUGGCCUCAAAUAGAGUUCAACAAUUAAAUUGCCUAUCGUUGACAAAACCAUAUUCCAUGCCAAAAAUCUAAUAUUUGUGUUUAUAUGUUACACUGAUCAUGAUGUCUGACUCUUUAGACAAUCUAAUCACAUCCUUUUUAACAGAGACAGAAUGACAUACUAAUUGCAGCCUCAUAUUGAUCUGAUUUUCUAUGCUGACCUACAAUAGCCUCGUCACUGAAUCAAAAUACUUUUCUUUUUUGCUUUGCAUUAAUCUGUCUGUCUAUCAUUAAAUUCUGAUUCCUGUAACCUUUAACUGGGAAAACAGCACAUCAUAGUAGGGCUUUUUGAACCAAGGCACCUUGAAUGGACUAUCUUACAGACUACCUCAAAAAUCCAAGAUCUCAGACUCCUGUGGAAUUGAAAUUUGGCAAAUGUUAAAAAACAUUUGAUGAUAUAACCAGUAUCAUAAAGCAAUUUAUGACAUAAUUCAAAAUGUCAUAAAACAUUUUCUGUGCUUCAUAUAGCACAUGUUUGACUGUGCUAUACAUGGACUAUUUUCAAGGCAGACACAUCUCUGAAUGUAUCCCAAUUUUUCCAGUGAAGGCAGUACAUUAGAAGCUCUGUCACUGUUGAAGAAAUCUGCAUGAUAACGUUUUGAAAGCCUGAUACAAGACACCACUAACAACAAAGCUGAAGGAAGCGGCUAACUUCUGACUGCAGCUGCUUCAGCUGAGAAAGAAUCACUGAAAGUCGAGGCAGACAUGUUUGUUCCCAGGUGCAAUGGAUUAAGGAGGAAGAUGUUCUAGAGGAUGGUAUUAAAACAAAAAAAGCUCUCC